rnacentral:lncRNA from 1 species
ACCAUCAGUGCUUCAGUUUUCUCUCUAUCCAAAGCAAGGUUUUAACUUUCCUUCAUUCUCCAGUAAAACAGACCGAGACAACUUGAACUAUAUUUUGAGUAUUGCUAUAUCUUCAACAUAUAGCUCCAAAUGAUGGAUUGUAUACAAAGCAUAGUACAGAAGGUUUCAGUAAUUGGAAGGUGAACACAGCAAUGCUUUACAUAAUUUGUGUUUUUUAGUAAAAAAUAUUGGAUUCAAAGUAAGCCAAUGAGCUUGUAUACAAAUUUUAUAUACAAAUUAUUGUAUAGAACAGUGAUAUGGAAAAUAGGUAAGGGUGAUAUUAAUAUCUCUGGGUAUAAGGACUACCUUAUCGUUUAAAUAUUUUAUUUCCAUCUAUAGCCUAAUAUAGAACAUUGAUUUUCUAGUAGAAAUUCUGGGAAGGGCUUUUCUGUCUCUGAAAUUGAUUCAGUACAGUUGACAGUUCAUCACGGUUACCUGGUUAAACACUUUUUUUUUUUUUUUAAUUCUCCAGUGAUCUAGGAAAUUGUUUCAUUUUUAACACAGGCUUAUUUCUGAUGGGGAUGGGGGCAUAGAAUAAUAUGCCUAAUAAGCUAAACGUUCUUAACGUUUCAUGUCUUAAACUGUCUUUUUGAACAUUGAGACCACCUCAAGUGCUGUAAAAAUAAGAAUGUUAUAUUAGGGGUGUGUGAGACGCCCUAGUCUAAAAUCUAUCUUUAAAUAUAUUUCCUUUGUAAUUUUCAAAGACUUCAGUAAUUGUGUGUUAUGGUGGAAAUAAUACUUUCCAUUGGUCCACAUUGCUCUGGACCAAACCUGGAGCAUUUCUAUAAUUAGAGCUAUCUAUGAAUCAUUAAAAAUGGAUCUAGAAUAAUUUUGGGGAGAGGGAGUGUAUCAUUUAGUUUAGGCUUACCUCAGCAGCACUUCAUAGGGUGAGGAGUUGUUUGUUUCUUUAAAGGUAUAACUGCAUUGUAAAAUGACUGGGUUUAUUGUAACAGUAAUUUAUGGGGGCACCCUUUUUGGAUUCUCCAUUGCCUCAGUUUCCUCAAGGAAAAAGUUACAGAGAUUAAGCUAAAUUUUGAAUUUAGAGAAUAACUGCUGUGUAAUUUUGGUAUAAUUACCAUAAAUUUAGUGUCUUAAAACACAACAUACAUUAUUUCACAAUUUCUGUAGGUCAAGAGUGUAGUUAGGUUUUCUGCUCAGGGUCUCACAAGGCUGCAAUAAAGGUGUCAGCCAGAGCUGCAGUCUUAUCUGAAGCUAGGGGGUCCUCUUUUAUGCACAUAUGGCAAAAUCCAUUGCCUAGCAACUGAAGAAAUCAUGGGAACUGAACUAUAAAUAGGCCAACUUUAAUUGUUAACUCCUCGGGUUUGGUGGAUUAUCUACCAUUUAUAUAUAAAAUUUCAGUUAGAAUCCACCAUUGGCGUUUUGAAGGCCAAGAUAGCUGAGUAUCUUAUCCUUUUUGUAACUUCUUGAUUAUUUUACUUAUUGGCAAAAUUCAUUAACUGUCAGCCAAUAAUUUAAUAUUAUGGGAGGAAAAAAUUUUGCCCAGAUAUCUGAGGCAAUACUCCCAAACACUAACAAACUGAUGCCUAACAAACUUGACAUUUUGAACACUUAAAGUUUUCCCUAAACUUUUUAAUAAGCACAUUAAUAAAGUAUGCUUUUAAAUAUAUAUGUACAAUAAUUUUUAAAAGUUGCUGCAAGAUGCCUUCAAAUCAAUAUGCACGUUGGUGGCAUUAGUGCAGUCUUCUAUUUUUAUUUUUUUGAGACACAGUCUCGCUCUGUGGCCCAGGCUGGAGUGUAGUGGCGCAAUCUCGGCUCACUGCAACCUCUGCCUCAAGGGUUCAAGCAAUUCUGCCUCAGCCUCCUGAGUAGCUGGGAUUACAGGAGUACGCUACCACGCCUGGCUAAUUUUUGUAUUUUUAGUAGAAAUGGGGUUUCACCGUAUUGGCCAGGCUGGUAUUGGAAUCCUGACCGCAAAUGAUCUGCCCACCUCGGCUUCCCAAAGUGCUGGGAUUACAGGCGUGAGCCACUGCGCCCAACCAGCCUUAAUUCUUAAUAAAGGAAGUUGAAAAAUAAUGAACAUUGGUAAAACUAUUCUAGUGUGAUCAGAAGCAAAUUUGGACUGUAGUGUCAAAUUGAUAAAAAACUAAGCACACCAAUCAUGUAUAAGAAAAGUAGAUUUAACAUUUUUUUCCCUAAACACUUAACCCAGAAGUUAACAAUAAUCUUGAAAAUUCCUUUUAAAUCCAGGCCCUUUAGGUGAUGGCAGUUUGACUCAGGAUGUCCAAGUCCAGUGUAUUUUCAAUAAAAUUGACUUGACAGCUACUGCUCUGGGUGUAAGAGCAGUUGACUGUGAGGAAAAGUAAAUGGUUCUACAGAUUCUUUAUGAUCUACCUCCCACCAGAGGACUGCAGUACUCCCUUGUUAUUUAUAUUUUCUGCCCCAAUUUUUGCCUUCUCCACAAAUUUUAUACCUUUUGUAGCUGCCUACUCCAGAUUACUUCACCUUUCCAGACUAUCAGUUCUUCCACUUUUAUUCUUCAUAAAGAAAAUUCCAAUAACCUGUUUCACUUAGGUUUUUCUAUUACUCUUCAAGCAUGAAUCCUAAUUUCCCUGACUAUAUCUUACCUCUGAUCUCCAUAACUGAUGGAUUCCUAUCCUAGACUAUGUUACUCUAAUAUUACCCAAGAUUUUCUCCAGCCUGUUUUUACUCUUACUUUGAAACAGCUGUUUAAAAUGACUCGUAAUCUGCUUAAAUCUACAUGCUUUUUGUGGUUCUCAAUCCAGUUACCUACCUUCCAGAUAAUUCCCUCACUGUCCUGUCCUCUCCAUUCCUCUGAUGUUUAAGCCCUGUGAGCCACCUUUCCCCCAUCCUUUGUGCAUAGUUACCAUUUUACUCUUUCUUGUUGCCCAGGCAGGAAUGCAGUGGUGCCAUCUUGGCUCACUGCAACCUCCACCUCCUAGGUUCAAGCGAUUCUCCUGCCUCAGCCUCCUGAGUAGCUGGGACCACAAGCGUGCACCACCACGCCCGGCUAAUUUUUGUAUUUUUAGUAGAGAUGGGGUUUCACCACGUUGGCCAGGCUGGUCUCGAACUCCUGACCUCAGAUGAUCCACCCUCCUUGGCCUCCCAAAGUGCUGGGAUUGCAGGCGUGAGCCACCGCCUGGCCACCAUUUUACUCUUUUUAGGUACAGUAAUCUAAUAUCCAAAGUCUUGGACUCAGCUAAAGAGGGUAUUUACCUUAAAAAAAAAAAAAAAAAGACUCCAUCUUUUGAUUCAUAAUUGUGGUGGGGGCGGGGAAUCAAGACAACCUUAGUCACUUUGGUAUUACCAUAAUUCUUGUCUUUUCAGGGUUGUCCUGUUCAGCUGCAUAAAACAUCAUGUAUUCUAGGUAUUUCCUACCUUCACUUACAUUUUUACUUGCCGAUGUGCUGCCUUCAUAAAUGGGUAUAUUCCGCCACACAUCUAGUAAGCCCCCAAUGCAGUACACAAUGUGUAUCACUGAUAAAACUCGCACUUCUGCCAUGUCAGUAUUAUAUUCAGUUGAGUGGUCUUUAGCAUAGUGGCAGUCCUAGUCAUCCUAACCUUUUAGUUAAGGUAAAAUUACAUAUGUUUAUAGAACUCAUAUAGACAAGCUAGUUUUUAAAAUCUUCCUUUUAACCAGUUUAGGAUGAUCUAGGAUAGCUAAGUUACCUACAUGGUGACUGUUCGGUCUAAUUCAGAAACAGAAGUACUAAAAGAAUACUAAAAAGUUUUUACCCAUUAUCUCUAUCCCUGUUUUCUUUUUGCAAUUCUCAGCUGCAGGGAGCAAGAAAAUACACAGCAGAUAGGAAAUGUUUGUUUGCAUCCUGGCUUUCUCAACCGCACUUUACGUCCUUGAAUAUUCUAGAUAUUUACUCCUUCAAGAAGUCAGGAGUAUAUCCAGGCCUACCUAUCAUCCUUGCCAUCCCCAUUAACCCUCAUUUUUCAGUAUGUGUUUUACAUUUAUGGUUAUUUUUCAGUCUAUAGUAUCUGUUCACUCAUUGCUCUAUCACAUCUGAGUUUCUCCGUCUUUCUUUCCACUAGAUUGUAAGCUCCUUAAGGGCAAGGUCGGCAUAUAAGCAAAGUUCUGUAAACACCGUGAAGGUACCAUGAGUUCUAUGGGUACUCAAUAAAUGCUUGUGAUAAUG